GCACGGCCCAUCAGGUAGUUGGCGGGUUAAAGGCCCGCCAAGCCGAAGACGGGUAGGGGCGGUGAGAGCCGCGAGCCCCGAGAUCGGCACUGAGACAAGGGCCGAGGCCCUACGGGGUGCAGCAGGCGCGAAUACUCCGCAAUGCGGGCAACCGCGACGGGGCUACCCCGAGUGCCGGGCGAAGAGCCCGGCUUUUGCCCGGUCUAAAAAGCCGGGAGAAUAAGCGGGGGGCAAGUCUGGUGUCAGCCGCCGCGGUAAUACCAGCUCCGCGAGUGGUCGGGGUGUUUACUGGGCUUAAAGCGCCCGUAGCCGGCCCGGCAAGUCGCUCCUGAAAUCCCCGGGCUCAACCCGGGGGCGGGGGGCGAUACUGCCGGGCUAGGGGGCGGGAGAGGCCGCCGGUACUCCGGGGGUAGGGGCGAAAUCCGUUAAUCCCCGGAGGACCACCAGUGGUGAAAGCGGGCGGCCAGAACGCGCCCGACGGUGAGGGGCGAAAGCCGGGGGAGCAAAGGGGAUUAGAUACCCCUGUAGUCCCGGCCGUAAACGAUGCGGGCUAGCUGUCGGCCGGGCUUAGGGCCCGGCCGGUGGCGAAGGGAAACCGUUAAGCCCGCCGCCUGGGGAGUACGGCCGCAAGGCUGAAACUUAAAGGAAUUGGCGGGGGGGCACCACAAGGGGUGAAGCUUGCGGCUUAAUUGGAGUCAACGCCGGG
rnacentral:rRNA from 1 species